rnacentral:rRNA from 1 species
CCCUUAGAUGUCCUGGGCUGCACGCGCGCUACACUGAUGCGUCCAAUAAGCACCUAACCUAAUCCGAAGGGACCGGGUAACCUUAGCAAAGCGCAUCGUGAUGGGGAUAGAUUAUUGCAAUUAUUAGUCUUGAACGAGGAAUUCCUAGUAAGCGCAAGUCAUCAGCUUGUGUUGAUUACGUCCCUGCCCUUUGUACACACCGCCCGUCGCUACUACCGAUUGGAUGGUUUAGCGAGAACUUUGGACCGGAGCUCGGGUGGUCAGCAAUGGUCGCCCGAGAUGUCUGGGAAAUCGUUCCAGCUUGAUCAUCUAGAGGAAGUAAAAGUCGUAACA